UUGAAACUUAUCUAAUUCUAAUAGAAAAAAUAAAAUUAUGGCAAAAAUAUAUUAUAAUCGACUUAUUGCGAAAUGUGGUACGCAAUAUAACAUAAGAAAAAAAACCGAAUAUUUUUUAUUGUAUUUUUUCAUCGCAUCUAAUGUAAUCUCCUCGCAAUUUCAAACAGAGCCUAAGAAUUGUGUCCAGAGCAUGAUUCUAUUUGGUUAGAUCCCAAAAUGAGUCUAAGGACGCGUUUGGUUUGAAUUAUGUAACAUUACAGGGUAUUUCGAUAUAUUCAAAUAUUUUGGUUUGAGUUAUGUAAUAUCACAGGGUAUUUCGAUAUAUCCCAAUAUGAGUCUAAGAGUUGUAUCUAGUG
rnacentral:lncRNA from 1 species